rnacentral:lncRNA from 1 species
CAUUUUAUGUUCAAAUAAAUAUCUAGCAUUUUUCAGUGAAAAACUAUAUUCUGCAAAAUCUUGGAUGCAUUGAUAAUGGUAUGCAGCUGCUACCAACCAGGAUAGGUGAUUAACUUACAUAAAGAAGAAAUCUCACUUGAGAAAAGCAUAAAAAUAUUACCAAAGUAACAUAAAGUCAUACAAAAAAAUGGAGGUAGACAGUUGAUGUGUGACUUUUUUGUUAUAGUCAUACAUGUUAGAGAUAGAUGAAAGAGGAGGGGC